rnacentral:rRNA from 1 species
UACAGAGGUCCCGAGCGUUGUUCGGAUUCACUGGGCGUAAAGGGUGCGUAGGUGGUGAGGUAAGUCGGAUGUGAAAUCUCCGGGCUCAACCCGGAAAUGGCAUUGGAAACUACCUUGCUGGAGGAUUUGAGGGGGGAUUGGGAAUACUUGGUGUAGCAGUGAAAUGCGUAGAUAUCAAGUGGAACACCAGUGGCGAAGGCGAAUCCCUGGAAAAUACCUGACACUGAGGCACGAAAGCGUGGGGAGCGAACAGG